rnacentral:rRNA from 1 species
AUUGAACGCUGGCGGCAUGCCUUACACAUGCAAGUCGAACGGCAACAGGUCUUCGGAUGCUGACGAGUGGCGAACGGGUGAGUAAUACAUCGGAACGUGCCUAGUAGUGGGGGAUAACUACUCGAAAGAGUGGCUAAUACCGCAUGAGAUCUACGGAUGAAAGCAGGGGAUCGCAAGACCUUGUGCUACUAGAGCGGCCGAUGGCAGAUUAGGUAGUUGGUGGGAUAAAAGCUUACCAAGCCGACGAUCUGUAGCUGGUCUGAGAGGACGAUAGCCCACACUCGGACUGAGACACGGCCCAGACUCCUACGGGAGGCAGCAGUGGGGAAUUUUGGACAAUGGGCGCAAGCCUGAUCCAGCAAUGCCGCGUGCAGGAUGAAGGCCUUCGGGUUGUAAACUGCUUUUGUACGGAACGAAAAGCCCUGGGUUAAUACCCUGGGGUCAUGACGGUACCGUAAGAAUAAGCACCGGCUAACUACGUGCCAGCCGCCGCGGUAACAC